CAACCCAUGCGGAAGCCGUGUUUGCCAGGUGGGUAACUUCCGAACAGUGUCCACAGCCUCCCGUCCUCCCCACCUGGGUUCCAGCAGCACACAGAUUGCCUCAGCUGCUUGUCGAAGUUAAAAAGUAAAAUUCCAGAGCCAUCCGGGAUGUGAGUUCUUCUGACUAUACCCAGAAGAAAGUGUUCUGACCUUAAACUAUUUAUCAAAGAACAGGCCCCAAGCUCAAAGCCCUAGGAAUGAGGAUGGAAGCAAGAAGAUUACAUAACAAAUUCUUAUUAUGGAAUUGUUUGAAUAUUUUACAAAAAACCCACAUACUUUUAUAAUUUAAAAAAUGUCAUGAUUGUCCUAUGCUUUCAGCUGUGAUUAAAGGA